GGGCCUGUAGCUCAGUUGGUUAGCAGCGCACCCCUGAUAAGGGUGAGGUCGAAAGUUCAAGUCUUUUCAGGCCCA
rnacentral:tRNA from 1 species